CUUAACACAUGCAAGUCGAGGGGCAGCAUGGUCUUAGCUUGCUAAGGCCGAUGGCGACCGGCGCACGGGUGAGUAACACGUAUCCAACCUGCCGUCUACUCUUGGACAGCCUUCUGAAAGGAAGAUUAAUACAAGAUGGCAUCAUGAGUCCACAUGUUCACAUGAUUAAAGGUAUUCCGGUAGACGAUGGGGAUGCGUUCCAUUAGAUAGUAGGCGGGGUAACGGCCCACCUAGUCUUCGAUGGAUAGGGGUUCUGAGAGGAAGGUCCCCCACAUUGGAACUGAGACACGGUCCAAACUCCUACGGGAGGCAGCAGUGAGGAAUAUUGGUCAAUGGGCGAGAGCCUGAACCAGCCAAGUAGCGUGAAGGAUGACUGCCCUAUGGGUUGUAAACUUCUUUUAUAAAGGAAUAAAGUCGGGUAUGCAUACCCGUUUGCAUGUACUUUAUGAAUAAGGAUCGGCUAACUCCGUGCCAGCAGCCGCGGUAAUACGGAGGAUCCGAGCGUUAUCCGGAUUUAUUGGGUUUAAAGGGAGCGUAGAUGGAUGUUUAAGUCAGUUGUGAAAGUUUGCGGCUCAACCGUAAAAUUGCAGUUGAUACUGGAUAUCUUGAGUGCAGUUGAGGCAGGCGGAAUUCGUGGUGUAGCGGUGAAAUGCUUAGAUAUCACGAAGAACUCCGAUUGCGAAGGCAGCCUGCUAAGCUGCAACUGACAUUGAGGCUCGAAAGUGUGGGUAUCAAACAGGAUUAGAUACCCUGGUAGUCCACACGGUAAACGAUGAAUACUCGCUGUUUGCGAUAUACAGCAAGCGGCCAAGCGAAAGCGUUAAGUAUUCCACCUGGGGAGUACGCCGGCAACGGUGAAACUCAAAGGAAUUGACGGGGGCCCGCACAAGCGGAGGAACAUGUGGUUUAAUUCGAUGAUACGCGAGGAACCUUACCCGGGCUUAAAUUGCAGAUGAAUUACGGUGAAAGCCGUAAGCCGCAAGGCAUCUGUGAAGGUGCUGCAUGGUUGUCGUCAGCUCGUGCCGUGAGGUGUCGGCUUAAGUGCCAUAACGAGCGCAACCCUUGUUGUCAGUUACUAACAGGUCAUGCUGAGGACUCUGACAAGACUGCCAUCGUAAGAUGUGAGGAAGGUGGGGAUGACGUCAAAUCAGCACGGCCCUUACGUCCGGGGCUACACACGUGUUACAAUGGGGGGUACAGAGGGCCGCUACCACGCGAGUGGAUGCCAAUCCCAAAAACCUCUCUCAGUUCGGACUGGAGUCUGCAACCCGACUCCACGAAGCUGGAUUCGCUAGUAAUCGCGCAUCAGCCACGGCGCGGUGAAUACGUUCCCGGGCCUUGUACACACCGCCCGUCAAGCCAUGGGAGCCGGGGGUACCUGAAGUGCGUAACCGCGAGGAGCGCCCUAGGGUAAAACUGGUGACUGGGGCUAAGUC
rnacentral:rRNA from 1 species